CUGGACUCUUGAUGAUGACUUGAUGAGUCAACUGAGGAGCAAAUUAAAUACUACUCUAGUAUAAGCGGUCAAAUAAUUAAGUUGAUUCUUCCAUUAUGGAAAAACUUGGAUGUAAAAAACAGGAUAUUUAGCAUAAUGAAUUAUGCUCGCGCCUUAAAAUCUGUUUUUAAUUUUAUCAGGCGUUCUCAAUUAAAUCUAAACAAGCAUAGAUUUGAAAAUGAGCAUUACUUCAAUUGUUUCAACUUGGGCGCAUGCUGUAAAAUUUUUCCAGUAAAAGAAAAGGCACUGUGAAUUUCACAUUCUCCAUGAAUAAAUUAUACUUAAAUAUACCAGAGCACUCAAACGUUUGUCUCACAUGUACUAGUUCUUGUUUAGUUCACCCAAAAAAAUCAAAAACUUUUCAGAUUUCUCGUCACAUUAAACUUUGCAGCACAUGCAUGGAGGACUAAAUAUAUACGAAAACAAAAACUAAAUGCACAAUUUAGAUGUAAAUCGCGAGAUGAAUUUUUUGAGUCUAGUUAAUCCAUGAUUGGACAAUAAUUACCAAAUAAAAUCCUCACAAAAAAUUGUCAAAUAAAAACAAAAUUGCUAUAUAUAUAGUAGCCAAAAUCAAAAAAAAAUUCUAAACUAAACAAGGCCCUAGUAUUGAAUCUACAGUCUGUGGUACGGAUCAAGGUACACUCAAUUUAAAUGAAACCCAGGACGCAAGCAUCAAAUAUUAACUCCACACAGGGGGGUGAAAUGAAGCCGCAAAAGUUUGGACUUUAGCCCUUCAAGUCCCUUUUGCUUCAUAAAUAUUGUCAACCACCAAACUGAUGGUCAUACGACAUC
rnacentral:lncRNA from 1 species